CUGGGCUGCUGUGGAGCGGAGAGCCGGGCUAGGGCACAGGGACACCGAAAGCGCAUCACCGCUGAUCCCUCCGCGGCCAGGACCGCAGCACCGCGGGUCCCUCCGGCAGUGCCUCUGUUAUCAAUGAAACUCCUUCCUGUGAGAAAUAGUGGCACAGCGACUUCAGCUGGAUGUGAAGAGCAGUUGAAAAGCCCUGUCACUGAUUGUUUGAUGCCAUCCCAUCCCUUCAUGGACUUUAAUUCAUUUGAGGAAGAUGAGGAUGAUGGAAAGUCAGCAAAUGCUCACAGGGAAAGAUCUCCCUUGAGGAAAGUCUUAUAGACAAAGCAGGCUGGAGUCACAAACAACCCAGUGCCACUGACACAGAAGAAAUAAAUAACAAGGUUGAACCCAGAAAUUCCACAGGACAAUCAGUCAAGUCGUGGGAAGCUCCCUGGGAAUUUUGCUGCUGAGGAGUGGAAGCCUCUAUGGAGCGGCUGAAAAUGUCACUUAGGGUAGGCUCAGCUCAUUCCUGGGUGCCUUUGCCCCUCAUUUCCCCAUGGAUUGGCUCUCCCUUCCCAUGGCAGAUUUUACUUGAGGGAAGCUUUUUUUUGAUGUCCGUGUCUUGCUGGGACGCUUCAUCCAGCGGAGCUCAGCAGCCUGGGAACCACCCCUGCUUCUUCAUUCUCUCUCUUGCAUCGGGGUCCCCAAACAGGACAGAACAUUCCAGCUGUGUUCCCAUGAGUGCUGAGCAGGGGGAAUUCCCGAGAUGUGCUGGAAUGCUCUGUCAGAUACAGCCCAGGGACCUUCAUCCCUGCCAGGGUGCACUCCAGGACCUACAGGAGAACACCUGGAAUGGGAGAAACACUCUGUCUGCAGAGCUUUGCAGUCCCCAGGUUGGAGUGAAGCACAGGAUUACACCAUCCCAAGGGGUUGGAAUUUGCCUCUGUUGCCCUGGACAAGCUUCCGAGUGACCUGGGUUGCCCAGAGUGCCCCUAAGGGCAGCCUUGCCCUCCUGCCUCUGCCACGUGGAAACCUGCUCAGGGACAUUCUGUCACCUCAGCCACAGCUGGACAUCUCCACUCGGUUGAUUUUACCUCUCACACCUGAAACGUUUGGGUUACAUUACAAAUAAUUUCGGACGUGUCUUAAUGGAUAGAGGUGCAGAAUUAGGAGAUGGUCAAAUUCUGCUUAGAAUCAUAGAAGGACAAAAUCCUCUAAAAUCUGUAGGUGGAAUGAGCUCCCCUUCAGGCUUUGAUAAUCCCCCCAAAAAUACUCGGAUGAUAACGGUAUCUGGGAAGAUCCCAGCCAUGCAAAGUGCAAACACAGGGCUUGUGCCCUGUGCACAUUUCUCAGAAGGGAAAGAGCCUCACAUCAUUUUUUUUUUCCAUGGAAGAGUCUGUAAAUAAAUAAGAGAACAUUGAGAUCAUGCCUGACCCUUCUCACCUCAUUUCUCAGACUGGCAGAAAUGACCCUACAGGACCAUGGACUUUUGACCAGCCAGAUGGCAAAACGUGUUUUCUCUCUGCUGAGGGGAUUCAAGGCCUUUUCUUCCAUCCCUGUUCAUGAAAAUUAGGAGUAUUCUCAUUGAAUAAAAUGGAGUUUGCUCAGCAUAAACCAGAAUGAGAUCAGGAGUAAUGAUGCAGAGGUGGCUGAAGUAGGUUCAGGAGCAAAACCCACUUGAUCCUGCCUUGUUUUCUGUUACAAAUCACAAUUCUGAGAGGUUUGAAAAUGGUUGUGGUGUCUGAAAAAUAAAUGCUGAGCUUCUCCUCAUAUGCUGCUACAGCACAUUUACAAAUAAUAUUAAUAUUCUCUUGGUUAAAGAUGUAUUUUAUCUAACUUUUCCUUAAGCAUCACUGUCACAAUAUAGGACAUGCUGUGUUCAUAGGGCUGGGUUUGUUUCCCUCUCCAGUUACAAGAGAUUACAGAGAAAAUGAAUAAACCCAAACAGAAAGAAAUGCAUCAACAGGGGAGCUCCAAGUACUCUUUUUCCUUGGACGUGAUUGAGGAUUUUAUCCUUAGGAAACAAAAUUCUUCUUCCAGACUUCUUCCAGCAAAUACUCUGGAGCGACUUCUGUGCCCUGCUCACAUCUUCCCCAUCCCUUUGUCCCUGUAUCCUCAUGCUCAGCAGUGAGGAUAAUUAUGAAUGUCUGUCACUUGUUUAAACAAAUGCUUUGUUUGGCAACCUUUGUUUUCUUGCUGCUGCUGCUGCUGCAGCUGCAAAAUUGUGUGCACAGUGUGUUAAUUUUUUACCUUUGAUGCUAUGGGAAGGUUUUUUUUCCCCUAAUGAAAAAAAAAAAAAGGAAGCCAAUGAAUGAGAUCCCAAUCUCUCCUGAUCCACACAAAACAUGUGAGAGCAGCAACUUCCUUAGAAAACAAUAGUAAAUGAAUGCUGAUACCAGGGUGAAAUAAGCUGGAUACUUCCUGGAAGCAAAUGAUUCCUCAGAAAGUGGCAAAGCACAGACAUAAAAUGCAAGAGAGGGGCUGAAAAAAAAGAGCAUGAAAAGGUGAGGAAAUAACAAAGAAAUCCUUUGUUUAUUUGGGACAACAAACUAACAGGGCAGCAGGGGGUAUUUUCUGCUACAAAAUUAAAAGAUUAAAUUGAUAUAUUGGCACCCUGAAGUUCUCAGUCAUUUUUACAUGGGGGAAGGAAAUUAAGAAUGGAUUUGAUGUAGGCACUUGAGCAAAUUAUCAUGGUUUAAAUCAGAAUAAACCUUCCUGUGUAUCAAGUUCUUCCUGGCAUUUGCUCAUAGGCAGACUCUUAUCCCAGGGUAAAGCGAAGCCCUCAUUCACUAAAUGGGGAUUACACUGAAUUUCAUUCAAUUAUUGCAGAAAUAGUCAUGGGAGCUCAGUUUUGGCAGCUCCUGAAGCUCAGGAGACUGUGAAGCACAGGAAGCAAUUACCCUUUGGUCAGUCAUUCAUUGGUACUGGGAAUCCAAGAUUGAAAGCCAAAUCUGGGCCUUCAGAUUUAACAGAAAGAUCCUUUUCCUCCUGCUGUUUCCCAUUGUUUCCAGUCAGACUUUCUGCUGCAUGAAGUGUUUGUCAUAUCUGGCUGUG